UACGAAGGGGGCUAGCGUUGCUCGGAAUUACUGGGCGUAAAGCGUACGUAGGCGGAUUUGUCAGUCAGGGGUGAAAUCCCGGGGCUCAACCGCGGAACUGCCUUUGAUACAGCAAGUCUUGAGUUCGAGAGAGGUGGGUGGAAUUCCUAGUGUAGAGGUGAAAUUCGUAGAUAUUAGGAAGAACACCGGUGGCGAAGGCGGCCCACUGGCACGAUACUGACGCUGAGGUGCGAAAGCGGGGGGAGCAAACAGG
rnacentral:rRNA from 1 species